CCAAGGCGGUGUAGUUCAUUUGUCUCUUCCCGUUGAAUUUAUCUGAAUAUCGCAAUUAUGUUAUUGUUACCAACAGACCACGAAGCGGUCGAGUUUGGACAGCAUCAUUGCGUCCCAGGAUGCGAUUGUCAUUGCAUUCGCGUUGACAGUAAGUGAAUUAAUGUUUAGGUACUUGCAUGAAGAAAUGUUUAUGGAACAAUUAAUCGAAUAAUAUUUAUUUCGCUCCGUUUUUUGGAGAUUUCCGCAACUUGAUAGCGAAAUUGUGGGAAAACCUGCAGGUACAAAAAAAUGCUCCUACAGUAUCUAUUAAACAUAUUAUUGCAGAGUUGCGCCAAGCGAUCCGUAAACUUGAACCUCGUUCGUCAUUUGGUCCCGAUUGUAUUCCACCUUUCUUUGUUAAGGACUGUUUGGCGGCUCUGAUUAAACUAGAGUUGUGGCGUUCUCGAGAAAGUUCUCUGUUUUUUAUGGGAAACCUUCUCGCUUGUGAGUAUUUGUCAUUGGAAAUGGAGAACGUUCUAGAGCCUUUGCUUUAUAUUUACAAUUGUUGUCUUAAUCAAUUUACGUAACAAAAAAGAUGCAAGGUAUUAAGAGUAAAGCCAAUUCUGAAAACUACUUCUAACGAUGUUAUUUCGUGUGGUACCGUAGACACGGAUAUUGUUUUUACAACCGACUUAUCGGAUUCUCUAGAAUUUGGUAAUCAUAAUCACCUACUUACUAGUUACAGUUUUUGUA